GAGUGAAGGAGAGUGGUGGAUGUGGAGUUGUGGACAAUCUGACAGAAGAUACAGGAUGAAACCGCUCCGGCCAUCUGCCCUAAUUGGAAGAUCAAGCUCCCAAAUCACUCGUUGGCUUAUUGAAUCGAUUGUUUCUUUGAAUAUAAUUAUUAAUUUUCAUUUACCAUCUAUCUGGAAAUUAUAGAAAAGAAAUUUUUAGUCGUUUAUGCUUCACAAGGAAGCUAUUCCCUUGAUAGGAAACAGAUUCUGUCUGAUCAAAACGGCAAGGAAACGUUCCUUGUUGUGCCAAAA
rnacentral:misc_RNA from 1 species